UACGAAAGGGGCGAGUGUUGUCUGUGUGGACUGGGUGUAAAGGAUGUGUAGGCGGUUUUUCGGAUUUUUUGUUAAAUGAAUACUCGAAGGUAUUCUAAAUAAAUUUUUAUCGUAAUACUUGAGUUUGCGCAGGUCAGUGGUAUUACUCUAGGAGGCCAAGCGUCUUAGAUAAGAGUAGGAAUGCCAUAGGUGAAGGCGACUUUCCGUAGUAAACUGACGCUGAGCCAUGAAAGUGUGGGGAGCGAACUGG
rnacentral:rRNA from 1 species